UUGAAAUACUUCUUUCUACUUAUGAAUGUUUAUACUUAUUUCAAAAUAUAAAAUUUUUGGUUUAGCCCAGGAUAAUAUGAAGUCCUAGGUCUGCCCCUAAUGUAUACUCUCCCCCAUUGUCUGUUCGUAGGCAGCGAACCUACUUCCCUACUUCUCCUUCGACUAUGUCUCUAAAUUCCUCAAACUUUAAAAAAGGUAUUAGGUUUUUAUUUCAUAGAAAAGACCCAUAUAUACUUGGAAAAGUCAUCGAUGAAUGUGACCAUGUAUUGCAUGCCACUGAUCGUUCUUUUGCUCUAAAUUUCAACUCAUCAUGUGGAAGUUUGUGAGCCUUGUCAUGCUAACACCUUGCACACACUAUGUUUAUUCUUUCAUCAAUUUGAGAUAGACCUCUGAGCAUUGACUUGUUCAUGAUUAUCUUCAACAUGCAAUUGCUAACAUGUCCAAACUAUGCAUGCCAUAAAUACACUAUCUCAUUCCCUUAAGUAUUGUCUACAUAAGCAAUUUCAGCUACCGAUACAUAGACUGACUCUAACCUUCAUCCUUCCAUAGGUGUCCCUGAGAUCUUUAGAUAUUGAUACACCAUGACAUCUUGAGGUUUGAACAAGACAUAAUUGCAUGAUGAUAUUAGUUGUAAUACUAAGAGUAGGUUUUUCUUCAUACUUGGGGCAUAAUACAAAUCUUAAAAUGACACUUUGUGUGGACCAUUGUUGGUAAAUUUCUACUCAGUUGCUAUUGAUGCCAAUGUGCAAGUGUACACAACAAGUAAUAAAGUGAUGAAUAUUCUAGAUCGUCUCCACAGGGACUAAUGUUACUAGAAAUGCUACAGCAACCACAAUAGUGUAAUCUACCUUUAUUUCAAGAUGAACCUAGUUAAAGUUUAUUACUACCGAAACGAACAAUUGUAAGCAAAUAAAACAAACAACUACAGUAAUGAAAUAAAUUAGAUAAAUCGCGUAAAAAAAUCUAAUGAGAAUGAAGUAGCUGAGUGAUCAAACUCUCUUCAUGGUAGAGAUGGCAAAACCCCGGGCCGGGUCCGGGUAUUGCCAUGACCGGACCCUGCCCGGAUGCAACCGGUCCGGGUCCGGGUCCGGGCCGGAUUUUAAUCCGGG
rnacentral:lncRNA from 1 species